CUCCGGUGCCUUCGCGGCUUCGGAGCGGACAGGGAAUCGGGUGCAAAUCCCGAACGGUACCGCCACUGUAUGCGUGGAGGCGCCGCACAUGGCGAAAGCCGGUCAUUGGGUGCAAACCUGAGAAGGCAGUGCGGAGGCUGAGGAUGCGCAAGUCAGGAUACCUGCUGGACAG
rnacentral:ncRNA from 1 species